GAUGAACGCUGGCGGCGUGCCUAAUACAUGCAAGUCGAGCGAACAGACGAGGAGCUUGCUCCUCUGACGUUAGCGGCGGACGGGUGAGUAACACGUGGAUAACCUACCUAUAAGACUGGGAUAACUUCGGGAAACCGGAGCUAAUACCGGAUAAUAUAUUGAACCGCAUGGUUCAAUAGUGAAAGACGGUUUUGCUGUCACUUAUAGAUGGAUCCGCGCCGCAUUAGCUAGUUGGUAAGGUAACGGCUUACCAAGGCAACGAUGCGUAGCCGACCUGAGAGGGUGAUCGGCCACCCUGAAACGGAGACACGGUCCAGACUCCCACGGGAGGCAGCAGUGGGGAAUUUUCCCAAAUGGGCGAAACCCUGACGGAGCAACGCCGGGGGAGUGAGGAAGGUUUUCGGAUCGUAAACCUUUUUUUUUAGGGAAAAACAAAUGUGUAAGUAACUAUGCACGUCUUGCCGGUCCCAAAGCAGAAAGCCCCGGCUACCUACGU
rnacentral:rRNA from 1 species